rnacentral:lncRNA from 1 species
UGUCGGUGAUAACCUACCGCAGAAUAUAAACAAAUUGAAUACGCACGUGCGAAAAAAAUGUGCUUAAUCAAACUAGGAACCCCAGACAUAAAAAAUACUCACCCCACCCUAAUUACCCAAUGAAACUAACCAGUCUACCACAAUCAAACCUCUACCCAGCGAAUUUACCAGUGCAAGAACAAAAUUUAAUUGAAGUCAUCAGUGGUUGAAUAUGCUGUUGAAUAUAAUAAUUUUUCAGUUAUUAUAGGCGCAGAAAUGGCCGUGUGUGACCACCAGAUGAGCGAUUGAGGCAUCAAAGGCUUUCUCCAGGUCAACAAAUGCCAAGUACAGCAUACAUUAUACAAAUAUAAUGUAUAAAAAUCAUACUUUAUUUAUUUAGCAAAAAUGCAAGAAAGUAGAUUAUGGACAUUAUUUUUGUAAAAUAAACUUCUGGAUAAAGGAC